UAAGGAGGUGGCAAGCGUUGCUCGGAAUCACUGGGCGUAAAGGGCGCGUAGGCGGGGAGGUAAGUCGGGUGUGAAAUCCCUCGGCCCAACCGAGGAACUGCGCCCGAGACUGCUUCUCUUGAGUCCCGGAGAGGAAGAUGGAAUUCCCGGUGUAGCGGUGAAAUGUGUAGAGAUCGGGAGGAACACCGGUGGCGAAGGCGGUCUUCUGGACGGUGACUGACGCUGAGGCGCGAAAGCGUGGGGAGCAAACGGG
rnacentral:rRNA from 1 species